rnacentral:rRNA from 1 species
GAGUUUGAUCCUGGCUCAGAUUGAACGCUGGCGGCAGGCCUAACACAUGCAAGUCGAACGGUAACAGGAAGAAGCUUGCUUCUUUGCUGACGAGUGGCGGACGGGCGAGUAAUGUCUGGGAAACUGCCUGAUGGAGGGGGAUAACUACUGGAAACGGUAGCUAAUACCGCAUAACGUCGCAAGACCAAAGAGGGGGACCUUCGGGCCUCUUGCCAUCGGAUGUGCCCAGAUGGGAUUAGCUAGUAGGUGGGGUAACGGCUCACCUAGGCGACGAUCCCUAGCUGGUCUGAGAGGAUGACCAGCCACACUGGAACUGAGACACGGUCCAGACUCCUACGGGAGGCAGCAGUGGGGAAUAUUGCACAAUGGGCGCAAGCCUGAUGCAGCCAUGCCGCGUGUAUGAAGAAGGCCUUCGGGUUGUAAAGUACUUUCAGCGGGGAGGAAGGGAGUAAAGUUAAUACCUUUGCUCAUUGACGUUACCUGCA